UACGUAGGGCGCAAGCGUUGUCCGGAAUUAUUGGGCGUAAAGAGCUCGUAGGUGGUUUGUCGCGUCUGCCGUGAAAGCCCGGGGCUUAACUCCGGGUCUGCGGUGGAUACGGGCAGACUAGAGUACUGCAGGGGAGACUGGAAUUCCUGGUGUAGCGGUGGAAUGCGCAGAUAUCAGGGAGGAAUACCGAUGGCGAAGGCAGGUCUCUGGGCUGACACUGACGCUCAUGCACGGAAAGCGUGGGGAGCAAACAGG
rnacentral:rRNA from 1 species